rnacentral:rRNA from 1 species
CACGUAGGGGACGAGCGUUGUCCGGAUUCAUUGGGCGUAAAGGGCGCGUAGGCGGUCGUGACAAGUCACUUGUGAAAUCUCCGGGCUUAACUCGGAACGGUCAAGUGAUACUGUCGGACUAGAGUACAGAAGGGGCAACUGGAAUUCUCGGUGUAGCGGUGAAAUGCGUAGAUAUCGAGAGGAACACCUGCGGCGAAGGCGGGUUGCUGGGCUGAUACUGACGCUGAGGCGCGAAAGCCAGGGGAGCGAACGGG